CAGGAAAUAGUUUAAUAAAGAAUUUUGGUUUUGGAUGCCAAUGGUAAGAUAGGAAAAUUUCUUUUUUCUGA
rnacentral:tRNA from 1 species